CCCUUAGAUGUCCUGGGCUGCACGCGUGCUACAAUGAUACGUGCAACGAGUUAAUCCUGCUCUGAAAGGAGUGGGUAAUCUUAUGAAUGCGUAUCGUGCUUGGGAUUGACCAUUGUAAUUAUUGGUCAUGAACGAGGAAUUCCUAGUAAGCACAAGUCAUCAGCUUGUGCUGAUUACGUCCCUGCCCUUUGUACACACCGCCCGUCGCUCCUACCGAUUGAGUGUUCCGGUGAAUUAUUCGGACUGCAACAGUUAUCUGUCGCGGAAAGUCUUGUGAACCUUACCACUUAGAGGAAGGAAAAGUCGUAACA
rnacentral:rRNA from 1 species